AGCUAGUUGGUAGGGUAAUGGCCUACCAAGGCGACGACGGGUAGGGGACCUAAGAGGGUGAUCCCCCACAAUGGAACUGAAACACGGUCCAUACAUCUACGGAUGGCAGCAGUAGGGAAUAUUGCCCAAUGGACGAAGGUCUGAGGCAGCAACGCCGCGUGUGCGAUGAAGGCCUUCGGGUUGUAGAGCACUUUUCUGAGGGAAGAGGAAGGACGGUACCUCAGGAAUAAGUCUCGGCUAACUACGUGCCAGCAGCCGCGGUAACACGUAGGAGGCAAGCGUUAUCCGGAUUUACUGGGCGUAAAGCGCGUGCAGGCGGUUUGGUAAGUUGGAUGUGAAAGCUCCUGGCUUAACUGGGAGAGGUCGUUCAAUACUGCCAAACUAGAGGACGGUAGAGGAAGGUAGAAUUCCUGGUGUAGUGGUGAAAUGCGUAGAUAUCAGGAGGAAUACCAGAGGCGAAGGCGGCCUUCUGGGCCGUUCCUGACGCUAAGACGCGAAAGCAUGGGUAGCAAACGGGAUUAGAAACCCCGGUAGUCCAUGCUGUAAACGAUGCAAACUAGGUGUUGGUGGUGUAAAAGCUAUCAGUGCCACAGCUAACGCAAUAAGUUUGCCGCCUGGGGAUUACGGCCGCAAGGUUAAAACUCAAAGGAAUUGACGGGUUCCCGCACAAGCAGCGGAGCGUGUGGUUUAAUUCGACUACGCGAAGAACCUUACCUGGGCUUGACAUAUAGGUGGUAGGGAUCCGAAAGGUGACCGACCCUUCGGGGAGCCUAUACAGGUGCUGCAUGGCUGUCGUCAGCUCGUGUCGUGAGGUGUCCGGUUAAGUCCGGUAACGAGCGCAACCCUUGCCGUAUGUUAUACGUGUCAUACGGGACUGCCGAUAUAAAAUCGGGGGAAGGCGGGGAUGACGUCAAGUCAGCAUGGCCUUUAUGUCCAGGGCUACACACACGCUACAAUGGCCAGUACAAUAGGUUGCAAGGCCGCGAGGCGGAGCCAAUCCUCAAAGCUGGUCUCAGUUCGGAUUGCAGGCUGCAACUCGCCUGCAUGAAGCCGGAGUUGCUAGUAAACGCGCGUCAGUACAGUGCGUUGAAUACGUUCCCGGGAAUUGUACACACCGCCCGUCACGUCAUGGAAGCUGGAAACACCUAAAGUCGGUAUCCUAACCCUAACGGGAGGGAGCUGCCUAAGGUGGGGCUGGUGACUGGGACGAAGUCGUAACAAGGUAGGUGUACCGGAAGGUGCGCCUGG
rnacentral:rRNA from 1 species